rnacentral:rRNA from 1 species
GGGGAAUAUUGGACAAUGGACCAAAAGUCUGAUCCAGCAAUUCUGUGUGCACGAUGACGUUUUUCGGAAUGUAAAGUGCUUUCAGUUGGGAAGAAAAAAAUGACGGUACCAACAGAAGAAGUGACGGCUAAAUACGUGCCAGCAGCCGCGGUAAUACGUAUGUCACAAGCGUUAUCCGGAUUUAUUGGGCGUAAAGCGCGUCUAGGUGGUUAUGUAAGUCUGAUGUGAAAACGCAGGGCUCAACUCUGUAUUGCGUUGGAAACUGCAUGACUAGAGUACUGGAGAGGUAAGCGGAACUACAAGUGUAGAGGUGAAAUUCGUAGAUAUUUGUAGGAAUGCCGAUGGGGAAGCCAGCUUACUGGACAGAUACUGACGCUAAAGCGCGAAAGCGUGGGUAGUAAACAGGAUUAGAUACCCUGGUAGUCCACGCCGUAAACGAUGAUUACUAGGUGUUGGGGGUCGAACCUCAGCGCCCAAGCUAACGCGAUAAGUAAUCCGCCUGGGGAGUACGUACGCAAGUAUG